UACGGAGGGGGCUAGCGUUAUUCGGAAUUACUGGGCGUAAAGCGCACGUAGGCGGAUCGUUAAGUCGGGGGUGAAAUCCUGGAGCUCAACUCCAGAACUGCCUUCGAUACUGGCGAUCUUGAGUCCGGAAGAGGUAAGUGGAACUCCUAGUGUAGAGGUGGAAUUCGUAGAUAUUAGGAAGAACACCAGUGGCGAAGGCGGCUCACUGGUCCGGUACUGACGCUGAGGUGACGAAGGCGUGGGGAGCAAACAGG
rnacentral:rRNA from 1 species